CCUAUAAUUUAAGCCUGUGUAUUUCCUCACUGUUAGCAGUGUAAAAGGUUUUGAUAUGUUUUCCCCUCAUACAAGCUCCAACAACAAGCCCUUGAUUUUUAUGUGCUUCUGAUUGAUGUGCUACAAGAUGUCCCCUGAUGAUUGUUUUCCUAUCAUAGCAUCCACGUUGUGACCUUGGUUGGAUUGUUGGUAAUGAGUGCAACUCAUAGAAGCUGGGAACGUGGAACAUGGCCACAUUCCUCGUUCCAUGUUCCUCGUUCCGAAGCGGGAACGGGAACGUUCCGGGAACAAUUUAGUGUAAAAAUCCUUCAUAAGCGUUGUUCCUCGUUCCGGGAACGUUCCGGUUCCGGGAACGGUUCCGGGAACAUGGCUACUAGGGUGCAACACUGCAACAGUGCAUAAGACAUAUCUUUGCAGUUAUUUGGAAAUGAUUAGAACUUUUCUCUGUCUCCCCUCUACAGUCAGCACACUUCUAAUUGUUUUGCUUUCUUUGUGCUGUAACAUUUUUCACUCAUAAAUGCAAUAUUUGUGCAAGGUUUCUGUAUACAUCAACUGCCCACCACAAGAGGGACGAUGUAUAGCGAGGAGGAUAAUUCCAUGCAAGAUGACUGGUAUUCAAACUGCUUUGAAAGAUGCCAGCAAUUUUAAUGCCCCAAUACCAGUAUCCAGUGAGGAUUUGAUUUCACUGUAGAUGCAAGCAGCACAGGCAUGUGAUGAGAAAGUAAUGUUAAAAAGAACAGAGGCUGCAUGGAGGAUUCUUCAUUUCUUGUAACAUUUGCCUCAAAUUACGCAGGUUCACCAGUCUUUGUACACUAUUACCAUGGGUAAGUAUUGAUUACGUUACCCCGCAAUCAUAUUCUGAUACAAUUCAAAUUCGUAUCAACUUUGGCAAAUCUGCAUAUUGUCCUUAGUUCUGAUGUAUCACAGCAGGGUUCUGGUUUGCUGAACAUAGUGAAAUUCUGUGUUCGCUGCCUCCAAAUUGCUGCAGUAUACUAGUUGAUAUUUCUUUUGUUGCCCAUGCUGAAGCUGUCCUGAAUCAUGAUUCCUGAAGCUGGCAUACUUGUCCUAAUUCUCCAUUUUCAGACUAAUUCCACAACUGAACAUCUGAAAUGAUUCAGUUCAGAGUGUUGCAGCGCCAACCACUGUCCUACCCAUGCUACUUAUUUGGGUUCAGAUACUUAACCAACCAAUGUGCAUUUCCGACACAACGCAUUUUUUGUGAUAAUGUGUUGAACCACUAUCGUUUCGCAAGCUUUUCCUAUAUUGUCAGAAUCCUAUUCAUGGGGAAAGUUUCCUGCUUGGUCAUGAAUAGUUUCAUGACCUUAACUCUAUGCAUGAUUAUGUUGUCCAUUCCAACUUUGAGUCAUCAUGAAUCACUUGAGAUCAAAUGUAUGCUGCCAUACAAGUACAAAAAAUAUUUUGCCCAACAAGCUGAAAUUGGCCUGAAUCGGGCAUACUUGUGCGGUGCUCCAUUCUCUUUCAGUCUGCACAGCUCUCUCUAGAAAGCUUGUGGAAGAAUGCAUCAGACCAAGAUUCCAAGCCUUUGCACCAGUGGUACAUAUAAAUGGACGUCAUUAUCUGAAUGUCACCACACAAAAUGCGCAACAGAAAGAACACCUCAAGUCCCAAUUUCUGAAGGAACAAUCACUGGGAGGAAAGACGGAUGGAAGGGAAGAGAGUUGCAGCUGCUACUCUGGGCUGCAUGCUCGUCAUGCUGUCCAUGUCCAGCCAGCCGCAGGUGGCCGGAUUCACAGGGUUCUGUGAGUGCUUCGGCAGCUGCUACCCUGGCUGCAGGGAGGGCAACCCAGCGUGGCUCUGCACAAUCAAGUGUGUAGUCCUGCGCCGUCAACUUACACAAGGUGCCCGUCGCCGCGUUCGGUGCUGGCGACUGCUCCAAGAUCUGCCUCUCCUCCAUCUGCAGCGUGGCCGAGAGAGGGACAACUGAUGCCGGUGCUGCAGCAGCUUGCGUUGAUGAUUGCACCGUGAACUGGAGCUUGUACAAGAACAAGCACACUUGACAGUGACAGGUGAUGACUCCUGAGUUGCCAGUGAAUAAUGAGGCAUGAAUUGACUGUUCACAAUUAUGAGCGAUAAUAAUACAAGUAGAUCAUGCUACAUUUCUCAAACUUGUAAUUUCAGCGAGACCCGUUUUCAGUCCACAAACUUUCAGAAUUACGGACUCUAUGUUUGUUGGUGCAUUUUGGUAAUAGGAAUGUAAUGUUAGCUCUAGGUUCCUGGACAUACUUAAUGGUCAUGGCUACCUGACGUCCCGACCCCAAGUAUUUAUUACAAAAGAACCCCUGGUGACAGCCGGGAGCGCCGAGCCCUAUAUCCAUCCGAAGCGUGGCCUCAGGAUCCCAGCCCUCCCGUAGCCAGUCACACACAGGGCGGUCGUUCAAGCCGAGGGAGCAUGGCGAACAGCGGCGCACGCGCUUCAGCUCGAGCAGCAGGCCAUGGCAGGAUGGUCGGUACCACGCCUUCUCCCGUGACGUUAUGCAACAGCACGUCCGUGAGACCGUGAAGAUGAUCACAUCCUCGUCCAGGUAAAUCUCUGCUUUCGCCGCUUGUGCAGUUUGUUUCUGACGGAAGGGUAUGGCACUUCUGAAAGAUUGGCUUUGAUCUAGCCCUCUCAACUUCUAUGUAGCUCGACUGCAUUUCUUAAGUUUUUCAUGGGUAAGUUGCAUUACAUUACCUCCAUUCAUAUCAACUUUGACAAAUCUGCCUACUGUUCUGAAUUCUGAUGAAUCACUUUCCAAAUGAAUCGACAACUGAAUAUAUGACAUUAUUCAGUUCAGAGUGUUGCAGCCAACAGCUGCCCUACCCUCCCAACCUGUUUAUGGGUCAAGAGACUUAACCAACCAAUGUGCAUUUCCAACAAAAGCAUGGUUCUGAUAAUGUUUUGAAGCAGUGUCACGCAAGCUUUUCCUGGAUUGACAAUCAGGUUCCCUGCUUGGCCCAAAAACUUCUAAAAGGCAGCGUUGAAAAGCUUCUGCCACAAUGUAUCAGAACUUCAGAAGAAGAAUCUUUGGCGAGCAUCUCGUAUCUGCAACUGUCCAUGAUUUUUUUGGCGAUUAACUGUCCAUGAAUUUGAUUCCACCUCUUUUUGAAAAAGAAUGAUUCCACGUCCUGUGGCACGAAGAGAAGACAAGGAUGGAAUGGAAGAGAGUGGCAGCCCCUGCUCUGUACCGCAUUCUUUUUUUAAAACUACUCUGUACCGCUAACACUAAUAUCAUCUGCAUGAAACACGCCGUUUUCCUUCAGACCUGAACGGUCUUCUA